GAUGAACGCUGGCGGCGUGCUUAACACAUGCAAGUCGAACGAAGUUUUUUGAGAGCUUGCUCUUAAAAAACUUAGUGGCGGACGGGUGAGUAACACGUGGGCAACCUGCCUCACAGAGGGGGAUAGCAGUUGGAAACGACUGAUAAUACCGCAUAAGCACACAGUACCGCAUGGUACAGGGUGAAAAGAUUUAUCACUGUGAGAUGGACCCGCGUCUGAUUAGCCAGUUGGCAGGGUAACGGCCUACCAAAGCGACGAUCAGUAGCCGACCUGAGAGGGUGACCGGCCACAUUGGGACUGAGACACGGCCCAAACUCCUACGGGAGGCAGCAGUGGGGAAUAUUGCACAAUGGGGGAAACCCUGAUGCAGCGACGCCGCGUGAGCGAAGAAGUAUUUCGGUAUGUAAAGCUCUAUCAGCAGGGAAGAAGAAAUGACGGUACCUGACUAAGAAGCCCCGGCUAACUACGUG
rnacentral:rRNA from 1 species